UCUAAUAUGGCAGAUUAGUGCAAUGGUCUUAAAAUCCAUAUAUAAAGGUUACUCCUUUUUUUAGAA
rnacentral:tRNA from 1 species